AAGGGACGAGCAUCCAAGUCCUCACCUCGGGGCGGUCCCGCGGGGGUUCCAGCAGGGGGCGCCCCGAGCUCCGGGCCGAGUGUCCGGGCGCGCCUCCAGCCGGCGCCUGGGACCGGGCUGGCCGCUCCGCCCCCUCUGCUCCUCGGCGGCUCUGCGGGCGGACGCCGGGCGCAGGGAGCAGAGCAGAGCGGAGCGCCGCGCACCCCGCCGCGCCCCGGUGCACGUCCAGCUCUCCGCACAUGCAGCGCAGCCUUUCGCCGAUUGUAUGGUCCAGGCCUCGAUGAGGAGCCCAAAUAUGGAGACGUUCAAACAGCAGAAGGUGGAGGACUUUUAUGAUAUUGGAGAGGAGCUGGGCAGUGGCCAGUUUGCCAUCGUGAAGAAGUGCCGGGAGAAGAGCACGGGGCUGGAGUAUGCAGCCAAGUUCAUUAAGAAGAGGCAGAGCCGGGCCAGCCGUCGGGGCGUGUGCCGGGAGGAAAUCGAGCGGGAGGUGAGCAUCCUGCGGCAGGUGCUGCACCCCAACAUCAUCACGCUGCACGACGUCUAUGAGAACCGCACCGACGUGGUGCUCAUCCUUGAGCUAGUGUCCGGAGGAGAACUGUUUGAUUUCCUGGCCCAGAAGGAGUCGUUAAGUGAGGAGGAAGCCACCAGCUUCAUUAAGCAGAUCCUGGAUGGGGUGAAUUACCUUCACACAAAGAAAAUUGCUCACUUUGAUCUCAAGCCAGAAAACAUCAUGUUGUUAGACAAGAAUAUCCCAAUUCCACACAUCAAGCUGAUUGACUUUGGCCUGGCUCACGAAAUAGAAGAUGGAGUUGAAUUUAAAAACAUUUUUGGGACACCUGAAUUUGUUGCUCCAGAAAUCGUGAACUAUGAGCCACUGGGACUGGAGGCCGACAUGUGGAGCAUUGGAGUCAUCACCUAUAUCCUUCUAAGUGGAGCGUCCCCCUUCCUGGGAGACACAAAACAAGAAACCCUGGCAAAUAUCACUGCUGUGAGUUACGACUUUGAUGAGGAAUUCUUCAGCCAGACAAGCGAGCUGGCCAAGGACUUCAUUCGGAAGCUUCUUGUGAAAGAGACCCGGAAACGGCUUACCAUCCAAGAGGCUCUCAGACAUCCCUGGAUCACGUCAAAAGGAGAAGCCAGAGCCCCUGAACAGUGGAAGGCACAACCUGCCCAGCUGAAGACCAAACGCCUGAGAGAGUAUACCCUCAAAUGUCAUUCGAGCAUGCCCCCCAACAACACUUAUGUCAACUUUGAGCGUUUCGCUCACGUGGUAGAGGAUGUGGCUCGGGUAGACAAGGGAUGCCGUGCCCUAGCAGGAGCCCAUGAUACCCUACAGGAUGAUGUGGAGUCCUUGGUCUCUAUCUACAAUGAGAAGGAAGCUUGGUACCGAGAGGAGAAUGAGAAUGCCCGCCAUAACCUGUCCCAGCUCAAGUAUGAGUACCGCAAGGUGGAGUCCCUGAAGAAGCUCCUGAGAGAAGACAUCCAGGCCACAGGGGCCAGCCUUGGAGGCGUGGCCAGGAAGCUAGACCAUCUGCAGGCACAGUUUGAGACUCUGAGGCAGCAGCUCUCAGCAGACAUCCAGUGGAUGCAGGAACUGGUUGGCAUCUUCCAGCUGGAGAGUGAGAACACUGAUAGCCACAGCCUGGGCUUCAUGUUCCACCGGGACCCCAGUGAGUCCCUAUCGGAGCUGCUCAACAGAUCACACGCAGAGGAAGUCCUGGCCGGCUUGAGUCUCUGAGCACCAGGAUCUAGUCAGUAGUGCAUUCUCAGGGCUUUGUAGAAGCAUGCUGUCUUCCCCUCCGCCAGGUCAUCCAGGUGGAAAUAUCCUGCAGGGUGUGUGUUUGCAGCCUUCCACCCCCUCUAGAGUUCCCCAGACACUGGGGUCCUAGUUAGUGGAACUAAUCUGCACCUCCCUCACCAGCCUGGUUUUCUGAGAGGGCGCUGGCAACGCAGCUGAGCUGUGGAAACGAUUAGAAAAUAUCUUCCCUCAGCAUGCCCUUCUCUGGGGGUGUCUUCCGGCCCCAGGAGAUGCUUUAUAGCUGGGUAAUGAUGAUGGAUCGGCUCACCUCUCACAUUCCACGUGCGUGCCAUUAUGAGUGAAGAUCUUGAGUAAUGAUGGACAUAGCUAAGAAUAACUUGUUCUUCAGGGUACUUUCCUGUUACAGAGUCAGGGCUUUAAAAUACACAGAGAAAAUAUUAAGUUUCACUUGAAUUGUCUUCUCGCUCAUCAGGUCUUUAUGUCUGUGACCUUACUGGAUGCUUAAAGAACUCUGUGAGAUAAGAGGCUGAGAUUAUAGGUCAGUUUCUAGAGUGCUUGCCUAGAACCCACAGAUCCCUGGGUUUGAUGCCCAGCACAGCAUAAAGUGGGCUUGGUGGUAAUAUCCAGCUUGAUAUUAGAGUUCAGAUCACAGAGGCUAAAGGUCUGACUUUACAUUGAGAAUGAAGACAAGAGACACACAACAAGGAGGUCUUUAUUCUCAUAUACUAGGCCUGUGGGCCCUGAAGUGUGGGAAACCCCAGAAGGCUUUGGGAAGCACAAGCCUCAUUGGUCUCUUCUAGUUCCAAAACUUUGAGCAGCAUGGGGAUAGUGUGAGGUCAUCUCCCCUUCCAAGGAAGAAGGCCAAUCAGUACAUCCAUGCAGACAGCAUGUAGAGUAUGGACCCUGGACCCCACAUGGUACUAGAAGCUAGGGGCACAUUGUAAUGUUUCAAGUACCUCCAUAGCCUCACAAAUUAUCCACCAGAUUUUAAUAUUAAAUAUUAUUUCCAGGUUAGGGAGAAAGCCAAAAAGAAUGUGACUUGUCCUGUGUUACAUUGGUAAUAACAAUGGGAGUCUUCUGAUGAGUCUUUCAUUCUUUCUGAUUCCCUUAACUCUUGGACUUUAGGAACUCACUCUGUGCUUGAGAGAAUGGGUGGUACCCGAGUUCACUCAUCCAUUCAGACAUAGUUAGUAGGCACCUGCCAGUUUCUAAAAAGUUGACUUGAGUCUGGGGAUGCGGUGUUAUGUAAUAUCACUCUGGUUUUCUACUUUCUCAGAGUUCUCAGUUGAGUGACAGAUUCUAGCAUUACUCAAGAAUUAUACAAAUGCAGAACUCCAGCUGGUUCCUAUGCUGUGAAAGAGAAGGAGGCAACAUUUUAAGGCCUGGAGAGACAGAGGGAGGGAGAAAGGGAGGGGUGGAGAUAGAGAUAGAGAUAGAGAUAGAUAGAGAUACAGAUACAGAUACAGAUACAGAUACAGAUACAGAUACAGAUACAGAUACAGAUACAGAUAGAAUUGGGUUGAUCUGCUCAGGCAGUCAUCUGUGAAGGACACUGGGACUGUGGUCAGCUAAGUAAACCCUGGGAGAGAGUUGUCUCCUGUAGGCUGUCAUACCAAGGUUCUGUGAUGAAAAGAGAAGGAAGGAAAAACAAAGGAGAAAGAAUGCGGUAUGUAUAGUAUAAGAGCAGGUAUGUAUAGUGUAGAGAGCAGGUAUGUAUAGUGUAGAGAACAGGUGUGUGUAGUGUAGAUAGCAGGUGUGUUUAGUGUAGAGAGCAAGUGUGUAUAGUGUAGAGAGCAGGUGUGUAUAGUGUAGAGAGCAGGUGUGUAUAGUGUAGAGAGCAGGGUGUGUACAGUGUAGAGAGCAGGUGUGUAUAGUGUAGAUAGCAGGUAUGUACAGUGGAGAGAACAGGUGUGUACAGUGUAGAGAGCAGGGUGUAUAUAGUGUAGAGAGCAAGUGUGUAUACUGUAGAGAGCAGGUGUGUACAGUGUAGAGAGCUGGUGUGUAUAGUGUAGAGAGCAAGUGUGUAUACUGUAGAGAGCAGGUGUGUACAGUAUAGAGAGCAGGUGUGUACAGUAGAGAGCAGGGUGUGUACAGUGUAGAGAACAGAUGUGUAUAGUGUAGAGAGCAGGUGUGUACAGUAGAGAGCAGGGUGUGUACAGUGUAGAGAGCAGGUGUGUACAGUGUAGAUAGCAGGUGUGUACAGUGGAGAGAACAGGUGUGUACAGUGUAGAGAGCAGGGUGUAUAUAGUGUAGAGAGCAAGUGUGUAUAGUGUAGAGAGCAGGUGUGUACAGUGUAGAGAGCUGGUGUGUAUAGUGUAGAGAGCAAGUGUGUAUACUGUAGAGAGCAGGUGUGUACAGUGUAGAGAGCAGGUGUGUACAGUAGAGAGCAGGGUGUGUACAGUGUAGAGAGCAGGUGUGUACAGUGUAGAUAGCAGGUGUGUACAGUGGAGAGAACAGGUGUGUACAGUGUAGAGAGCAGGGUGUAUAUAGUGUAGAGAGCAAGUGUGUAUAGUGUAGAGAGCAGGUGUGUAUAGUGUAGAGAGCAAGUGUGUAUAGUGUAGAGAGCAGGUGUGUACAGUGUAGAGAGCAGGUGUGUAUAGUGUAGAUAGCAGGUGUGUACAGUGUAGAGAGCAAGUGUGUACAGUGUAGAGAGCAGGUGUGUACAGUGUAGAGAGCAAGUGUGUAUACUGUAGAGAGCAGGUGUGUACAGUGUAGAGAGCAAGUGUGUAUACUGUAGAGAGCAGGUGUGUACAGUGUAGAGAGCAGGUGUGUAUAGUGUAGAUAGCAGGUGUGUACAGUGUAGAGAGCAAGUGUGUACAGUGUAGAGAGCAAGUGUGUACAGUGUAGAGAGCAGGUGUGUACAGUAGAGAACAGGGUGUGUACAGUGUAGAGAGCAGGUGUGUAUAGUGUAGAUAGCAGGUGUGUACAGUGGAGAGAACAGGGUCUGUACAGUGGAGAUUGGGCUGAGGAAGAGCGGAGCCAGCAGGGCUUUGGCAUGUUGAGUUCUGCCUUUGAUCCUAGGGUCACCAGAAACCAUUAAUGGAUCUUGGGCUAGUGCUGAAGGAGAAACUCUCAGUGGGCAGCACAGACCAGAUUUUGAUCUAAUAAAGUCAUUUUCUAGAAUCCUAUUAGGUUUUUUUUUUAAUUAGCAAGCUGGAUCAUUUAAAAUAUCACAUAUAAUAACUGUAAUCAAUACCAUUUUAGUCAAAUAUAAGAAACCAUAAUUUUAAGAUGCAUGAUUAUUUUAUGGACAA